rnacentral:rRNA from 1 species
AGAGUUUGAUCAUGGCUCAGGAUGAACGCUAGCGACAGGCUUAACACAUGCAAGUCGAGGGGCAGCAUGAUUUGUAGCAAUACAGAUUGAUGGCGACCGGCGCACGGGUGAGUAACGCGUAUGCAACUUACCUAUCAGAGGGGGAUAGCCCGGCGAAAGUCGGAUUAAUACCCCAUAAAACAGGGGUCCCGCAUGGGAAUAUUUGUUAAAGAUUCAUCGCUGAUAGAUAGGCAUGCGUUCCAUUAGGCAGUUGGCGGGGUAACGGCCCACCAAACCGACGAUGGAUAGGGGUUCUGAGAGGAAGGUCCCCCACAUUGGUACUGAGACACGGACCAAACUCCUACGGGAGCAGCA